CACGGGGGGAGCAAGCGUUGUUCGGAAUCACUGGGCGUAAAGGGCGUGUAGGCGGUCAGGUAAGUGGGAUGUGAAAGCCCUCGGCUCACCCGAGGAUCUGCAUCUCAAACUGCCUGGCUUGAGUAUGGGAGAGGAGGCUGGAAUUCUCGGUGUAGCAGUGAAAUGCGUAGAUAUCGAGAGGAACACCAGUGGCGAAGGCGAGUCUCUAGACAACUCCUGACACUGAGGCACGAAAGCUAGGGGAGCAAACAGG
rnacentral:rRNA from 1 species